GCAUAUCACUAAGCGGAGGAAAAGAAACUAACUAGGAUUCCCCCAGUAACUGCGAGUGAAGAGGGAAGAGCUCAUCAUUGGAAUCUGGCAGUGUUACACUGUCCGAGUUGUAGAUGAGGAGUAGUCCGUCUGGACUGCAUGGCGUCCAAGUACAAUAGGCCGUCAGUGGGACAUCAUAGAGGGUGACAAUCCCGUCCUUGACGCCAAUGUGCAAGUCUAUUACGAUGGCUAUCUCAGAGAGUCGAGCAGUUUGGGAUUUGCUGCUUAAACAUGGGAGGUAGAUUCCUUCUAAAGCUAAAUACAGGCGAGAGACCGAUAGAGAACAAGUACCGCAAGGGAAAGAUGAAAUAGCACUCUGUGAAGGGAGUCAAAAGGCGUGAAAUUGUUGCGAGAGAAGCGAUUCAAGUCAGCGUAGCUAGGCCCAUCAAGCGUCUUCGCUUUGGACUAGCUUUGCCAGCGGUCUUGUCCCUUAAAGAGACUUGACUUGUAAUAUGUCCAGCCUGGCGUGCACAGGCAGCCCCUUCUGGGGGCCAGUGGCAUGGCUGGUGGAAUGGCUUGCAAUCGACCCGUCUUGAAACACGGACCAAGGAGUCUAACAUGUAUGCGAGUAUAAGGGUGGCAAACCCGUAUGCGCAAUGAAAGUGAUUUUCGGUGAUUGAGAAUGGCCUGAUGACCAGACAAGCAAUAUAUGUCCCUCGUACGGCCAUUGCCCAAGUUCCGUGGUAGAUCCCACGAACAUGGAGUUGGAGCAUACAUGCUAGGACCCGAAAGAUGGUGAACUAUGCCUGGACAAAGCGAAGCCAAAGGAAACUCUGGUGGAGGCUUGUAGCGAUUCUGACGUGCAAAUCGAUCGUCUGAUCUGGGUAUAGGGGCGAAAGACUAAUCGAACC
rnacentral:rRNA from 1 species